rnacentral:lncRNA from 1 species
AACUGCAAAUGAGGGACAGACUUGGGGAUGCACAGAGGACAUCUGGGAGUGAGCAAAGUUCCAAAUACAUAAAAGUGUGUUCAAAGACAGCUGCAGCACAAGGGCUGUGGCAGAACAUUCUGCACUCCCCAGGGCAGAGCCCUCGGUAGCACUCAGCCCGGUGUCCCCAGUGCCCGAUACGAUGGCCACCAUGUAGGAAGUGCUCAGUACGGGCUGCUGAGGAGUCCAGCAAAGGCAAGAGCAGCUGGCAGCCAUGAAGACAGACAGGCCCUGGCAGACCAAGGAAGCCAAACCAUCAGUCUUGGGACUGCAACUAAACAGCUACUCCUACCCCACCCACCCUGUGCUAAGCACUGUGUUAGGUCCUCCAGAGACAGGAGCGUGUGUUCUGGGAUGACCACGUGAGAGAGGGACUGGAUCCUGGUAAGUAUCCAGACGAGAACACCAAGCCUCCAGCACUCAGUCAACUUGCUCAAGACAAGUCAUAAAGCUAAACAAUACGAGACGCCAAAACCCGUGUUCUCGUCAUCACGCCAGCUGAACAGAGACUGUGCUGGACAACCCGAAGCGACAGAGGCAACGAGCAACAGCAACACCCACGAAAGGGAGAGGAAAACCACACAGAAACCAGGAGGGCAACAGGCCGGCCUAUUCCACAUACACAGAAGCAGCAGAGUGCAAGAGAUUCGACGCUGCCACCCCAGGCCGCGCCCAGGCCAGUAACUGAAGAAUGUUCAAAGUCCCACCUUCAGAAUGCUACUAUUUCCAAGCAUAAGGUAAAGUCACAAGAGCUGGGAAGGAGGAGGCCUUUGUUUUUAUGCCGGCUCCUCGUGCAGCUGACCUGUGACCUGAGGCUGGCCACCCACCUCUUCUGCUUUCACUUUCCCUGUGCAUAAAGCCAGGGUGGCCCUAUGUGCCCUGCGCAUCCUCAGACUGACUGGGGACCCGACUGGAGAGAACCACAGAAAACCACACAAUAACAAAGACAGACGAAGUGUAGGCAAGGCAUGACGGGUGACUACACUUGAGGGCUGGGGAGAGAAGACGACCAUGUUGACGGUCUCGGCAUGAACCACCGCCAAAAGCAUCUCCCUUGGAAUUCUGUCCCGCUGCCACAGUGCUCCCCACCUUCUACAUCAACGCUUGGAAGUGCUCUCUAGGCCGACCAGGGAUCCUGCUUUUGGUGUCACAUCAAAGAACUCUGCCCAAUUCAAGGUCAUGAUAAUUUUCUUUUAUUUUCUUCUAAAAGUUAUAUAUUUUCAGCUUUUAAACUCAGGUCUACGAUCCCUUUUGAGUAAAUGUUGUCUGUGUUUCAUUUUAUUCCCCGGUUAUACGUCAGUGUCUCCACCUCUCCUUCCUCUGUUGAAGACCGCCCUGCCUGCUCUUGCACCCAGCCAAUUCCUCCUCCCUCCCAUCGAGCCUGUUGUCGCCUCCUGGAAGAACUCUUCCCUGAGUCUGUGACCUCCCCCAGCACAUGGGACCUCCCGCAUCACAGUCCUGACGACAGUGCACUGUGAUUAUUCGGCGACUUGUCAAUUUCUCCACUUGACAGAACUUCCCGUGAGGACAG